UACGGAGGGUGCAAGCGUUAUCCGGAUUCACUGGGUUUAAAGGGCUCGUAGGCGGUCUGUCACGUCGGGAGUGAAAACUCAGGGCUUAACCCUGAGCCUGCUUCCGAUACGGGCUGACUAGAGGUAUGCAGGGGAGAACGGAAUUCCUGGUGUAGCGGUGAAAUGCGCAGAUAUCGGAAGGAACAUCAGUGGCGAAAGCGACUUCCUGGACCAAUACUGACGCUCAUGUGCGAAAGCGUGGGGAGCAAACAGG
rnacentral:rRNA from 1 species